rnacentral:rRNA from 1 species
GGCCAACAUCAGUUUACUUUGCGGUAAAAGGGUUUAGGGAAUGUGGCUUCUUCNGGAGUGUUAUAGCNCUUUACUGGAUGCCGAAUCGUAGACUGAGGANCCANCGCGCUUUCGGGGCAAAGCUUUCNNGCUUCGAGCGCUUAGGAU